UGCUAACACAUGCAAGUCGAACGAAGCAGCAAUGCUUAGUGGCAGACGGGUGAGUAACGCGUAGAUAAUGUGCCCUCUUGCGGGGGAUACCGUUUCGAAAGGAACGUUAAUACCGCAUAAAGUCCUUGGGAGGCAUCUCUUAGGGACCAAACUUCCGGGGCGGGAGGAGCAAUCUGCGUACUAUCAGCUAGUUGGUGAGGUAAUGGCUCACCAAGGCUACGACGGUUAACUGGUCUGAGAGGAUGAUCAGUCACACUGGAACUGAGACACGGUCCAGACUCCUACGGGAGGCAGCAGUGAGGAAUAUUGCACAAUGGGCGAAAGCCUGAUGCAGCGACGCCGCGUGGAGGAUGAAGGAUUUCGGUCUGUAAACUCCUGUCAGUAGGGAAGAGAAUGGACGGUACCUACUGAGGAAGCUUCGGCUAACUACG
rnacentral:rRNA from 1 species